rnacentral:lncRNA from 1 species
ACCUAUGAGUGUAAGCACUCAUCCUCUUUCUUACAGUUAAUUUUUUUUGAUAGAAUGCAGGGAUCACACUGUACAAGGAUGUACUACUGGAGGUAUAUCUCCAGAGGUAGUAAUCUGCUGACAGUAGCAUAUAUACUGGUCAGAAUCUGUAAUUGUUCCAGAGUUUUGAAUAUUAAUUUUACGUUCCAAGGAAAUGGACACUGAUUCAAGAAUUGCAAGAUAGUUGGAGGUGAUGAGGAGCUCAUUCCAUUCGCUAUUAAUUAGGAGGAUAGAUAUGUGUCAACUGGAAGGUAUAUGUCCACUACUAUUAUACGAAAUUGCAGUUCUGGACAGGUGGGCUGCCAAUAUUGCUCUCUGUAUGAUUUCCUCUCAUAUACAGAUUUUUACACUUUGAAAAAUGGCCUAUUACAGGAUCAGGUAGCCAAGAUUGAAGACUAAACCUCAUGGAACAUGCAUGAGAGGAGACCAACUUUGCAAUGGGAGCAAGAACAAUGGGACCAGCUGUUGACUUUGCUCAGACAACAGAGAUUAAGCAAUGAGCCUGACAACUGGAUAUGGUGCCCUACAAGUAAGGAGUCUUUCACAGUCAAAAGUUUUUAUGAUAAACUUGAAGAAGAAAGGAGAGCCCUCAAUGCUGCUACACUGCCUGGUUUCCCUUACAACUUGGUAGGGUCUACUGAUAUCCCUUGUAAGAUCAAUUUUUUUUUUCUGGUGCUCUGUACAAGGUAGAAUCCAAACCACGGAUCACCUUGUCAGAAGAGGAAUGGACCUGCCUGACGUAUGCAUUGUCUCUAAGCAGUACCCUGAAACUGCUACACACUUCACUGGUUGUAAGGGUACUGGAGAAAUGGCCAAGGCAUAGGAGAAAAGGGAUCGGAGCAAACUUACUAAGUCUCUUACCUUAUGCAAUUAUGUGGAAUGUAUGGCUCACAAGGAAUGAUUACAUCUUCAAAGUGAAGCCGCCUAAUCUCGACAAACUCUGAAGCAGAAUUAAGCUUCUCUGUAGUUCUGGAUUGGAGGUAGAGCUCUGAACAAAUAUUAUACCUAUGCAUGCAGAUCUGACCAACAACUGGGAGUUAAUGCUGCUGCUGUAAUUGUCGAUUGUAAUUUGCUUUGGUUAUGUACACACUCAAGAGUUGUGAACUAUAAUACUAUAUGCAGUGAAUCUCUCUCUCACUGUCAUCUUGUUACCAUCAAUUAAAAGCGCCAAUUUAUCUAAAAAAGAAACCCUCAGACAUAGCAAUUUCAAUUCACUACAGUAAUUAUAAGUUGACAUUACUCAC